rnacentral:rRNA from 1 species
AGAGUUUGAUCCUGGCUCAGAACGAACGCUGGCGGCGUGGAUAAGACAUGCAAGUCGAACGAAGCAUUUUUGUAGUAAUACCGAAAUGCUUAGUGGCAAACGGGUGCGUAACACGUAGGUUACAUUCCGGAAAGUGAGGGAUAGCCCAGGGAAACUUGGAUUAAUACCUCAUGUGAUCGCAAGAUCAAAGGUGCAAACCGCUUUCCGAUUGGCCUGCGCCCUAUCAGCUAGUUGGUGAGGUAAUGGCUCACCAAGGCAACGACGGGUAGCUGGUCUGAGAGGACGACCAGCCACACUGGAACUGAGACACGGUCCAGACACCUACGGGUGGCAGCAGUCGAGAAUCUUUCACAAUGGGGGCAACCCUGAUGGAGCGACGCCGCGUAGAGGAUAAGGUCUUCGGAUUGUAAACUCCUGUCAUGCGAGAGCAAGGCAUAGUAAUAUGUUUGAUAGUAUCGCAAGAGGAAGAGACGGCUAACUCUGUGCCAGCAGCCGCGGUAAUACAGAGGUCUCAAGCGUUGUUCGGAAUCACUGGGCGUAAAGGGUGCGUAGGCGGCGGAGUAAGUCGGGUGUGAAAUUUGAGGGCUCAACCCUCAACUAGCACCUGAUACUGCUUUGCUUGAGGUCUGAAGAGGAGCUUGGAAUUCUCGGUGUAGCAGUGAAAUGCGUAGAUUUCGAGAAGAACGCUCGCAGCGAAAGCGAAGCUCUGGUCAGAUUCUGACGCUGAGGCACGAAGGCUAGGGGAGCAAACGGGAUUAGAUACCCCCGUAGUCC